GACGAACGCUGGCGGCGUGCCUAAUACAUGCAAGUCGAGCGCAGGAAACUGACGGAACUCUUCGGAGGGAAGGCAGUGGAAUGAGCGGCGGACGGGUGAGUAACACGUAAGGAACCUGCCUCAAGGAUUGGGAUAACUCCGAGAAAUCGGAGCUAAUACCGGAUAGUUCAACGGACCGCAUGGUCCGCUGAUGAAAGGCGCUUCGGCGUCACCUUGAGAUGGCCUUGCGGUGCAUUAGCUAGUUGGUGGGGUAACGGCCCACCAAGGCGACGCAGCAUAGCCGACCUGAGAGGGUGAUCGGCCACCCGGGGACUGGGACACGGACCAGACUCCUACGGGAGGCAGCAGUAGGGAAUCUUCCACAAUGGACGAAAGUCUGAUGGGGCAACGCCGCGUGAGUGAUGAAGGUUUUCGGAUCGUAAAACUCUGUUGUAAGGGAAGAACACGUACGAGAGGGAGUGCUCGUACCUUGACGGUACCUUACGAGAAAGCCACGGCUAACUACGUGCCAGCAGCCGCCGUAAUAC
rnacentral:rRNA from 1 species